AACCACUUUAAUAAGGUCAAUGAUUGGCGUGAAGCUUUAGCUCAAGCAACUAGUUUGGCUGGAUGGGACUCUCGUAAAUACAUGCUUGAAUCAGAACUCGUGGAAGACAUUG
rnacentral:pre_miRNA from 1 species